rnacentral:tRNA from 1 species
GGGAAAGUGGCUCAGGGGUAGAGCACUUGCCUUGCAUGCAUGAGGCCCUGGGUUCGAUUCCUCAGCUCCA